rnacentral:rRNA from 1 species
CAUGAAGUCGGAAUUGCUAGUAAUCGCAGAUCAGCAUGCUGCGGUGAAUACGUUCCCGGGCCUUGUACACACCGCCCGUCACACCAUGAGAGUCGGGAACACCCGAAGUCCGUAGCCUAACCGCGAAGGGGGGCGCGGCCGAAGGUGGGUUCGAUAAUUGGGGUGAAGUCGUAACAAGGUAUC